AAUUCUCAAAACCCUUUUCUUUCUGGAAAAGGAUUUUUGGACUUGGAGGUUUCAUGCUUGCCUUCUACUUUUGAAAGCAAGCUCCUCUCAAAUAAAUUAGUGGGGUCCACUUUGCUGAUCCUCGACGUGAUAAGAUGUUUCUACGUUUUGGAUUUAGUAUUGUCUUUUGGAUGCCUGCUCCUAACUGUCUCACAGACAAUGAUGGUGCUCUGGUCACUGCCAUCUAUAUUGGCGGGAGGCUGGACCCACAAA
rnacentral:misc_RNA from 1 species